rnacentral:rRNA from 1 species
CCCUUAGAUGUUCUGGGCCGCACGCGUGCUACACUGAGUGGAUCAGCGGGUCAGGUUACGCGAAAGUGUUUCCUAAUCUUUAAACCCGCUCGUGAUGGGGAUUGACGGUUGCAAUUUUCCGUCAUGAACGAGGAAUACCUUGUAAGCGCGGGUCAUCAUCCCGCGCUGAAUACGUCCCUGCCCUUUGUACACACCGCCCGUCGCUCCUACCGAUUGAGUGGUCCGGUGAGGCUUUGGGAUCUGAGCGGAAAGAGCGUUUCGCUGUUUCUGCCCGGAAAACUCAGUCGAACCUUAUCAUUUAGAGGAAGGAGAAGUCGUAACA